GGGCCAGUGGCGCAAUGGAUAACGUUGCCUGACUACACGGAUCAGAAGAUUCUAGGUUCACUCCUGGCUGGCUCG
rnacentral:tRNA from 1 species